rnacentral:rRNA from 1 species
CAGCAGCCGCGGUAAUACGGAGGGGGCUAGCGUUGUUCGGAAUUACUGGGCGUAAAGCGCACGUAGGCGGCUUGGUAAGUUAGAGGUGAAAGCCCGGAGCUCAACUCCGGAAUUGCCUUUAAGACUGCCGAGCUAGUAGGUGAGAGAGGUAAGUGGAAUUCCGAGUGUAGAGGUGAAAUUCGUAGAUAUUCGGAAGAACACCAGUGGCGAAGGCGGCUUACUGGCUCAUUCUAGACGCUGAGGUGCGAAAGCGUGGGGAGCAAACAGGAUUAGAUACCCCGGUAGUCCCUGUCUCUUAUAA